GCAGAGCUGGCAAUCCUUUUACAUGUCAUGGUUCUCAAGGAGUAAACUGCCCCUCCAAGCUGUCAUAGAACACUUCUGUCUGCUUCUCUACUUCCUACAAGGUCAGCCAACGGUUGCCCCUGCAGUCACUCUCUUCCCACCCUCUGCUGAGGAGCUCCAGACCAAAAAGGCCACACUGGUGUGUCUGAUGAGUGACUUCUAUCCCAGUGAUGUGACUGUGGCCUGGAAGGCAGAUGGAAAUCCUGUCACUCAGGGUGUGGAGACCACCAAGUCUUCCAAACAGACCAACAGCAAGUAUGUGGCCAGCAGCUACCUGACCGUUACACCGGACCAGUGGAAAAGUUUCAAAGCAGUCACCUGCCAGGUCACACAUCAAGGGAAAACCGUGGAGAAGAGCGUGUCUGCUUCCGAGUGUUCCUAGGUACCCAUCGCUAAACCCACUCUCAGGGACUGACACCGAAGGUCCCCAGAAGGUGCCCCAUCUCCUAUCCCUAGCACUCCAAGUCCUUCCCUCUGAUCACAAUGACUGCUCAAUAAAAUACUGAUUGUCUAUCAA